rnacentral:rRNA from 1 species
GUCUUUUUGUUUGGUUAAAAAGUCUGACCUGCCCAUUGAAUAUAUUUUAAUUUAAAAGGCCGCAGUACUUUGACUGUGCAAAGGUAGCAUAAUCAUUAGUUUAUUAAUUGUAAUCUAGUAUGAAGGGUUGGACGAAAUAAUAGCUGUUUCUUUUAAAUUUUAUAGAAUUUUAUUUUUUAGUUAAAAAGCUAAAAUUUUUUUAAGGGACGAGAAGACCCUAUAGAUUUUUAUAUAUUAAUGAUUGUAAAAUAAACAAAAUUUUUAUAUUAUAGUUAAAUAUAUUUUAUUGGGGUGAUAAUAAGAUUUAAUUAACUCUUAAUAAAAAUUACAUUAAUUUAUGAUUUAUUGAUCCAAUAGUAUUGAUUAUUAGUUUAAAUUACCUUAGGGAUAACAGCAUAAUUUUUUUAUAGAGUUCAUAUUAAUAAAAAAGAUUAUGACCUCGAUGUUGGAUUAAGAGUUAAUGUUAGGUGUAGAGGCUUGAUUUUAAAAUCUGUUCGAUUUUUAAAUUCUU